rnacentral:misc_RNA from 1 species
UUCAUCAUCUUCUUCUUCUCUUGAAUAUAACCUCACCGGAAAAACAAGAAUUCGGUAGCUACAUCAAUCUCAACCUCCCUUCAUCUGAUAUAUAUCAAGUAUCUAGAGGGAAAACUCAAUUGCUUGAUGUAGAAAAAUUUCUAUUUCAUGAUUCUUGCAUAGAAAACAGAUCGAAAUAUAGACAAUGGCAUUUCAGAGAGAUGGUGAUCUUAACCUUGAGGCUACAGAGCUCAGGUUAGGCCCUCCGGGCACCACCGAAGAGCCGGAAAAGCAAACCCAUCCUACCACUACUGCUAAGUGCAACAAAAGAUCUUUGCCUGACAUGAACGAGGAAUCAGCAGGCUCAAGGACGAACAACUCUAAUGUCUCCAAUGAGAAAAAGCACGACCGAACUUCUCCUCCCACCAAGGCACAAGUGGUAGGGUGGCCACCAAUCAGAUCUUACCGGAAAAACUGUCUUCAAGUAAAAAAAAUCGAGGCUGAGGCUGCCGGAAGUGGAAUUUACGUUAAAGUUAGCAUGGAUGGUGCUCCUUAUCUUAGAAAGAUCGACUUGAAGGUCUAUAAGGAUUAUCCUGAGCUCCUUAAGGCCUUAGAAGACAUGUUCAAGUUCAAAGUCGGUGAGUAUUCUGAGAGGGAAGGGUAUAAUGGGUCAGAAUUUGCACCUACAUACGAAGACAAAGAUGGUGAUUGGAUGUUGGUUGGAGAUGUUCCAUGGGAUAUGUUCAUGAAUUCCUGCAAGAGGCUGAGAAUUAUGAAAGGCUCAGAAGCUAGAGGCUUGGGUUGUGCUGUGUAAAUUAUAAGCUCCUACCAGAAAUAUAAAUAUGAGAAGAAGAAGAAGAUCGAUAAGACCAUGCAUAUGCAUCUUCAUGAACAAGAAAUAUAUCCUUUUUGCCGGGGGCUUCCACGAAGAAAAACCUGGAUCUGUUUUUCCCAGAAAAAAAAAAAAGCAAAAAAAUUCUUGAUCCAGUUUUUUGUUUUUCAACUUAUGAGAUUGCAAGGUGAAAAUUAUAGGGAAUUUUUAGGAGA